rnacentral:rRNA from 1 species
GCAAAACGCGAAGAACCUUACCAGGUCUUGACAUCCCACUGACCGGCCUAGAGAUAGGUCUUUCCCUUCGGGGACAGUGGUGACAGGUGGUGCAUGGUUGUCGUCAGCUCGUGUCGUGAGAUGUUGGGUUAAGUCCCGCAACGAGCGCAACCCUUGAUCUUAGUUGCCAGCAUUCAGUUGGGCACUCUAAGGUGACUGCCGGUGACAAACCGGAGGAAGGUGGGGAUGACGUCAAAUCAUCAUGCCCCUUAUGACCUGGGCUACACACGUGCUACAAUGGACGAUACAAAGGGCUGCAAACCCGCGAGGGGGAGCCAAUCCCAUAAAAUCGUUCUCAGUUCGGAUUGUAGGCUGCAACUCGCCUACAUGAAGCCGGAAUCGCUAGUAAUCGCGGAUCAGCAUGCCGCGGUGAAUACGUUCCCGGGUCUUGUACACACCG